AUACGGAGGGGGCUAGCGUUGUUCGGAAUUACUGGGCGUAAAGCGUACGUAGGCGGCUUAUCAAGUCAGAGGUGAAAGCCCGGGGCUCAACUCCGGAAUUGCCUUUGAAACUGGUAGGCUUGAACAUGGGAGAGGUAAGUGGAAUUCCGAGUGUAGAGGUGAAAUUCGUAGAUAUUCGGAGGAACACCAGUGGCGAAGGCGGCUUACUGGACCAUUGUUGACGCUGAGGUACGAAAGCGUGGGGAGCAAACAGGAUUAGAUACCCUGGUAGUCCACGCCGUAAACGAUGAUAACUAGCUGUCGGGGCACUUAGUGCUUCGGUGGCGCAGCUAACGCAUUAAGUUAUCCGCCUGGGGAGUACGGCCGCAAGGUUAAA
rnacentral:rRNA from 1 species